CGCCCAAUGAUAUCAACACCUCGCUGAUUCCUGCCCACCCGAAGGUCUCGAGGCGAGUGGGGUCGUCGAGGAAAGGCCGACAACGGUGGGAACCAUGAUACUGAUUAUGAGAGAUGAGGGCU
rnacentral:sRNA from 1 species